rnacentral:rRNA from 1 species
UACGGGGGGGGCAAGCGUUGUUCGGAAUCACUGGGCUUAAAGCGUGUGUAGGCGGAUCUGUAAGUACCUUGUGAAAUCCCACGGCUCAACCGUGGAACUGCUUGGUAUACUGCGGGUCUUGAGCCACCUAGGGGCAAGUGGAACAAACGGUGGAGCGGUGAAAUGCGUAGAUAUCGUUUGGAACGCCAAUGGUGAAAACAACUUGCUGGGGGUGUGCUGACGCUGAGACACGAAAGCCAGGGGAGCAAACGGG